rnacentral:rRNA from 1 species
UGGGGAAUAUUGCACAAUGGGCGCAAGCCUGAUGCAGCCAUGCCGCGUGUGUGAAGAAGGCCUUCGGGUUGUAAAGCACUUUCAGCGGGGAGGAAGGCGAUAAGGUUAAUAACCUUGUCGAUUGACGUUACCCGCAGAAGAAGCACCGGCUAACUCCGUGCCAGCAGCCGCGGUAAUACGGAGGGUGCAAGCGUUAAUCGGACUUACUGGGCGUAAAGCGCACGCAGGCGGUCUGUCAAGUCGGAUGUGAAAUCCCCGGGCUCAACCUGGGAACUGCAUUCGAAACUGGCAGGCUAGAGUCUUGUAGAGGGGGGUAGAAUUCCAGGUGUAGCGGUGAAAUGCGUAGAGAUCUGGAGGAAUACCGGUGGCGAAGGCGGCCCCCUGGACAAAGACUGACGCUCAGGUGCGAAAGCGUGGGGAGCAAACAGG